AAUACUUUUAUUUUGAAAGGGCACUUAGCUGCAUUUUGCUUCCUUGACAGGUCUUCAAAGACAUCCUCUCCCGCUGGUCAUGAGCCCGCCCCCUCAUUAGCGUGACAAAGCCGUGUGUUGUGUUAUGUCCAACACACACUAAUUCCAUUUGCAAACACUGAACUAAGCACACAGAUGUCGGAUUGUCCCACUGUUGUAGCAGGCAUUGAACUCAGCACGGUUGCCUGUGUCCCACUUGGACCACUUGCAUAAUUACAGCUUUGUGCACGUACAUGUGCAUGAGUGUUGUGUGCGUCUUGUGGACAAUGGUGUCUUUCACACGCUGCCCUUCAGUGCACCAAACCACAACACACGCACACACACACAGACAGACACAAGUUGUUAUUUUGCAUGUUGAUUGGUUUUGAAGUGUGUGUAUGUGUUGCAGGCUCCAUGUGAUUGAUGACUUGUCAUAUGAGGAUGUGAAGAAGUGUUACAGAGGAUCAACGGUGAACAAGUACAACAGUCAAUACCACAAACUUUUUCAGACGGUCCCUAAAGAUGAGCUCUUAAUGAAAGUGUACUCGUGCGCGCUGCUGCGUGACAUCCUCCUUCAAGGUCGUCUUUACAUCUCCAGAAACUGGUUGUGUUUCUACGCCAACCUUUUUGGAAAGGACAUCAAGGUGGGAGGAGUCAGACUAAGCCACAUGGCCACCACCCGACCUAUUGACAUCUGACCAGUGUGUGUGCAGGUGUGUAUUCCGGUGGUCUCAGUGCGACUGGUAAAAAAACACAAGACAGCAGGCCUGGUGCCAAACGGCCUGGCUAUCACCAUGGAUACGGGACAGAAGGUGACUUGACUUCAAACAGAAGUUUUUCUCUUUUCACAGCAAUUGUUCCCAGGAGCUGAUGUCUCAUAUGAUGGUUGAACUUCAAGUUUUGUUCCACAAUGGGUCUUUUCACUUUGGAGGUUGAUCUGCAAACAUGAGCUUGUAGAAAGACUAAUGUUUAAACAAUGGUGUCAUGUCUCAUGUUUGUUGUUGUUGACUUUGUGUGUCCAGUACGUGUUUGUGUCGUUACUUUCCAGGGACAAUGUGUACGACGUCCUCAGGAGGAUCUGCACUCACCUGCAGGCUAGUGCGCCACCAUCACUCCUCAUCAAGCCACAUGACACAUGCAUGUUCCAACCUCAUGUUUUCAUGUUUAAUUUUUAUGUUUUAUCCUCGUUUCAUCCUCAUUCUCUCAUGUUUCAUCCCCAUGUUUUAAUAUUUCAUUCUGGUGUUCCAUCCACUUUUCAUGUUCCAUCCACAUGUUCUCAUGUUUCAUCCUCACAUUCUAAAAUUUUAUCUUCAUGUCUUAUCCUCACAUUCUCAUAUUCCCUCCUCAUGAUGCAAUAUCUGUCCUCAUGAAUCCUGAUGUUUCAUCAUAUUACAACCUUAAGUUUACAUGUGCCAUCAGGAUGCUAUCAUGUCUCAAAUUUCAUUCUCAUGUUUUGUCCUCAUGGCCUCAUAUUUCAUGGUCUCAUACUUCAUCUUCAUGUUCUGGUGUUUCAUCCCCAUUUAAUUCUACUCAUUCUCAUAUUUCAUUCCAUAUUCUCAUGUUUCCUCCCCAUGUCAUUAUCCUCACAUUCUCAUAUACAAUAUCAUCCUCAUGUUCCAGCUUCACGUUUUAUAUACUGUAUUUCAUCCUCAUGUUUCAUCACCUUCUUCUCAUGUUUCAUCAUCACAUUCUCAUUUUAAAUCCUUAAGUUUUUGUGUUCCAUCCUGAUGUUAUUGUGUCUCAGAUUCCAUUCUCAUGUUCCAUCCUCAUCUUCUCAUUGUCAUACUUAAUCUUCGUGUUUUCAUGUUUUAUCCCCAUUUCAUUAUCCUCACAUUCUCAUAGUUCAUUCUCAUGUUCCAGCCUCACAUUUUAAUACUGCAUUUCAUCCUGUUUCAUCAUCAUGUUCUCAUGUUUCGUAAUCACAUUCUCAAAUAACAGCCUUAAGUUUUCGUGUACCAUCCUGACGUCAUCAUGUCUCAAAUUUCAUUCUCAUUUUCCAACCUCUUGUUCUCAUGUUUCAUUUUUAUGUUUUUGUCCUCAUGCUCUCAUGUUUCAUCUCCAUGUUUUAAUAUUUCAUCCAGUUUUCAUGUUCCACCCUCAUGUUUUCAUGUCUCAUCCUCACAUUCUCAUAUUUCACAUUCAUGUAUUUCAUCCUCACGAUGGGAUAGCUAUCCUCAUGUAUCCUCACACUUUUAGCACUGUAAUUCAUCCUGAUGUCAUCAUCGUGUCCUCUUUUCAACGUCACAUUCUCAUAUUCAGCCUUCAGUUUCAUGUUCCAUUCCGAUGCUAUCAUGUCUCAAAUUUCAUUCUCAUGUUCUUAUGUUUCAUGGUCACAUUCUCAUAUUUUAUCUUCAUGUUCCCACGUUUCAUCCCCUUUUCAUUCUCAUGUUCCAGUCUCACAUUUCAGUACUUUAUUUCAUCGUGAUGUUUUGUCGUCACAUUCUCAAAUUGCAUCCUUAAGUUUUCAUGUUUCAUUCCAAUGGUAUCAUGUCUCAAAUUUCCAUUCUCAUUUUCCAUCCUCAUGUUCUCGUGUUUCAUUUUUAUGUUUUUAUCCUCAUGCGCUCAUGUUUCAUCUCCGUGUUUUAAUAUUUCAUCCUGUUGUUUCACCCUCACAUUCUCAUAUUUCCCAUUCAUAUAUUUUAUCCUCACGAUGGAAUAUCUAUUCUCAUACAUCUUCACGCUUUUAACAUUGUUUUUCAUCCUGUUCUCAUGUUUCAAUGUCACAUUCUCAUAUUACAGCCUUCAGUUUUCAUGUUCCAUUCCGAUGCUAUUGUGUCUCAAAUUUCAUUCUCAUGCUCUUAUGUUUCAUGGUCACAUUCUCAUUUUUCAUCUUCAUGUUCCCACGUUUCAUCCCCUUUUCAUUAUCCUCUCAUUCUGAUAUUCUCAUGUUCCAGCCUCAUGUUUCAGUACUUGAUUUCAUCCUGAUGUUUCCUCAUCAUGUUCUCAUGUUUUGUCAUCACUUUCUCAAAUUACAUCCAUAAGGUUUCAUGUUCCAUCCUGAUCCUCGGGUUGUCAUAGUAUCAUAUUCAUGUUCCAUCUACAUGUUCUCAUGUGUCAAUCCUCAUGUUAUCAUGUCUCAAAUUUCAUUCUCAUGUUUCAUCCUCGGGUUGUCAUGUGUCAUAUUGGUGUUAUAUCUUCAUGUUCUCAUGUGUCAAUGCUCAUGUUAAUAUGUGCGUUUUCCAGGUGAACGGGAAAAGUCUGAGUGUGAAAGAGUUCCUGGAGGAACCCAGCUCGUUAUCCAUGGUAACGUCUUUGUCUUUGUGACAUCAUAGGUCACGUGACCAGCUGAUGUUGGUCACACAGGUCAAAGGGUGUGUUCCUCCAUGUUGGGGGGUCACUUCUUGAUAACGUUGAGUCAUGGCCGUCUUGUGGCAUGUUGGAUGAUGCCAAACGUGUGUGUUAGGAUGAGUUUCCUGAAGUUGCGCCGUGGACAAGGACGCCGUCGCUUCCCACUGUCUCCUCGUCUCUUCCUGACCUGUUAGGAGACGCCCCUCCUGGCCACGCCCCCGACACGCCCUUCAUGGUACACACCCUGACUGAAGCAGAACAUCUAGACGUUAU